AAUAUCCCAGUUCCUUUCCAUUCCAGUAGGAGCAGAGUGAGAAGCAAGCAGGACAGUGUUUUCUGUAGCACAUGGAUGGAUAUCCGUAACAAGAGCCAGCCAGGGAGGCGGAUAGAAUGUGCUGUUGCCUCUUGAAUUUCAAGCCACCUACUUAUCUCUGAGCAGUAGUGCUGGAAGGUGAGGAGAAGUAGCUAGUACAGAUCUUAGCCACACACCACUCAAACCCCUUGUGCUAGCCAUUUAAUAUCUGGAUUUGUUUGUGAUUUUAUCAGUGCUUUCCUAAUCUGUCUUCCUUUGUAAAGGUCUGCCUAUUUGCAUCAUUCAAUCUUGUUCAUUUUUCAACAGAUAUAGAGAGCAGACAAGCAGGGAAAGUUAGCAUGCUCCUCCUAAUGAAAGCCACUUGAGAGUAUGAACAAUAGAGAAACAAGGCAAUUGGUGAAUGCCCCCUAUUUGAAGGCCUGUGUGAGAAGGGAAAACAAGCUGCAGAAGUCAGUGCAGUCAGGGAGAAAGAGAAUAAAUCAGCCAAUUUCAAGUCAGUAUCUACAGGAGGGAGCAAAUAGCAUCAAAACCAGAAUUAUACCAAGCUGAGUCAAAUUGUCUGCCGACUGCAAAAGAGGAAAGUAAGUCCACUGAGCACCAAGUUGAAAGAGACAAGCCAAGGGCAGAGUCAGAGGCUGGAAGCUGUCCAAAGAAGACAGGAAAAUGAAUGAAGCACAGCAGGAAGGUCCAGGGAGCAAGAAAGCAGGAAGAAGAAAUUCAGCCGAAGUAGAGAGGAGGAGAACAGGAGGCAGGCAGGGACAUCAACAUCCAAGAUACUCUAGAGAAGAUAUUCCCUACUUGCAAGAACCUCUAGUACAGGAAGUUAGAUCAGCACUCCGGUCAUUACCAAAUCAGAAGGCUACAGGAAUUGAUGGAAUAGCUACAGAGAUAUGGCAAGCAACAGAAGAAGGAUCAGUCAAGGCUCUAACCAAAUUAUGCCAGCAAAUUUGGAGAAUGACACAGUGGCCAACAGAUUGGAAGAGGUCAGUCUACAUACCCAUACCCAAGAAAGGAGACUUAACAGAUUGUGCAAACCAUCACAAAAUAUCCUUAAUUUCACAUGCUAGCAAAAUAAUGCUCAGGAUCAUUCAAUGCAGAUUAGAGCUCUAUGUGGAAAGGGAAAAGCCAGAUAUUCAAGCUGGUUUCAGAAAAGACCAAGGAACAAGAAACAUCAUUGCUGAUUCAUGCUAGAUAAUUGAGAAAGCCAAAGAAUACCAAAAAGAAGUCAAUAUGUGCUUUAUUGACUACAGAAAAGCCUUUGAUUGCAUCAACCUUGUCAAGUUGUAGAAUAUCCUUAGGAAAAUGGGCAUCCAAGAACAUUUCACUAUUCUCAUGAGAAACCUAUACACAGGACAGGAAGCCACAGUCCACACAGAACAUGGUGAAACAGACUGGUUCCAGAUCGGCAAAGGAGUAAAACAAGGCAGUAUACUUUCUCCGUAUUUAUUCAAUUUAUAUGCUGACCAAAUACUGAGAGAAGCUGGAUUGGAAGAAGAUGAGCAUGGUUUUAAAGUGGGAGGAAGAAACAUCAAUAACUUGCACUACGCUGAUGACACCAGUCUGAUAGCUGAGAAUGCGGAUUAUCUGCAAGCUCUAGUAAUGAAAGUCAAGGAGCACAGUGAAAAAAUGGGACUACAAUUAAAUGUAAAGAAGACUAAAAUACUGACAACGGGUACAGCAACCAGCCUCAGAAUUGAUAAUGAAGACAUUGAAGUGGUGGAUAGCUUCUGCCUUUUAGGAUUGACUGUCAACAGUAAAGGAUCCAGCAGUCAAGAAAUAUGCUGCAGACUAGCACUUGGUAGGGUUGCAAUGAAGGCCUUGGAAAGGAUAUUUAGAUGCCAUGACAUGACUAUACCUACAAAGAUCAGAAUCGUCCGGAAAGUGGUUUUUCCCAUGACACUCUAUGGAUGUGAAAGCUGGACUUUGAAAAAGUAAGAUAGAAAAAGUAUUGACGCUUUUGAACUUUGGUGCUGGAGAAGACUUUUGAGGAUACCAUGGACAGCCUAGAAAACAAACAAAUGGGUCAUAGAACAAAUCAAUCCAGAAUUUUCACUCUAGGCACAAAUGACCAGGCUCAAACAAUCAUACGUCAGAUGUUCAUAAUGCUGGGAAAAGUUGAAGGAAAUAGAAGAAGAGUACGACCAACAGCAAGGUGGAUGGACUCGGUUAUGAUAACAAUGAAUGCACCACUGAGAGACAUUAAAGGCCAAGUUGAAGACAGAUCAUCCUGGAGAGAAUCUAUCUGUGUGUUGCUGAGAGUUGACACUGACUUGAUGGCACUUAGUCAAUCAAUUGUUUAGGUAUUAUUCAGGUCGUUGUGAUGCUGAGUUAAAUGCAUGACAUUCUUAUCUAAAUGUAUAACAUUCUUAUCUGGUGAACAUUUUUAAAGGCCUUGUUUUAGACUCUGCCUUACUUAAAUGUGAAACAGAAAAAAG